AUGUGUGCUCCAGCUCACUGUCAAGGCGACCUCAUCAUCACUAGUGUCAUGGACAAACAUAUCCGGCUGGAUGAAGCGAAGGGACCAUGGGAGGAGGCACAGAGAUCGCGGGAUGAAGACCGGUCCAUCAUCGUGAUACAUAAUGUGCAUGUGCAGUCGUUGAAAGAGCUGCUAGACGGACUUUUUGCCAUGAACAGACAGAUCUAUGCCACGGGCACCGAACCCUCCUCCUCAUGUUGUUGGCCUCAACUUGCCGCACCUGGAGUUGGGCAAGCAAGCCCAAUGACUACUCUUGAUGUUCCCUCUCCGAAUCACUAA
rnacentral:rRNA from 1 species